rnacentral:rRNA from 1 species
CCUACGGGCGGCUGCAGUGGGGAAUAUUGCACAAUGGGCGCAAGCCUGAUGCAGCCAUGCCGCGUGUGUGAAGAAGGCCUUCGGGUUGUAAAGCACUUUCAGCGGGGAGGAAGGCGGUGAGGUUAAUAACCUCAUCGAUUGACGUUACCCGCAGAAGAAGCACCGGCUAACUCCGUGCCAGCAGCCGCGGUAAUACGGAGGGUGCAAGCGUUAAUCGGAAUUACUGGGCGUAAAGCGCACGCAGGCGGUCUGUCAAGUCGGAUGUGAAAUCCCCGGGCUCAACCUGGGAACUGCAUUCGAAACUGGCAGGCUAGAGUCUUGUAGAGGGGGGUGGAAUUCCAGGUGUAGCGGUGAAAUGCGUAGAGAUCUGGAGGAAUACCGGUGGCGAAGGCGGCCCCCUGGACAAAGACUGACGCUCAGGUGCGAAAGCGUGGGGAGCAAACAGGAUUAGAUACCCCAGUAGUC